CUUGAUCGACCCGAGCCACAGCGGCUGGUCCCCGGAACGGUCCUGACCGUAGGUGGCCAGCAAUGCCUGCGCCUC
rnacentral:antisense_RNA from 14 species